rnacentral:rRNA from 1 species
UACGUAGGUGGCGAGCGUUGUCCGGAAUUACUGGGUGUAAAGGGCGUGUAGGCGGGACUGCAAGUCAGAUGUGAAAUUCUUGGGCUUAACCCAAGGGCUGCAUCUGAAACUGUAGUUCUUGAGUGCUGGAGAGGAUAGUGGAAUUCCUAGUGUAGCGGUGAAAUGCGUAGAUAUUAGGAGGAACACCAGUGGCGAAGGCGGCUAUCUGGACAGUAACUGACGCUGAGGCGCGAAAGCGUGGGGAGCAAACAGG